rnacentral:lncRNA from 1 species
CCUCUGCGGGGGUGACAGCCUGUGGAAGGGCUCGCUUCGCCCCGCCACUUAGUAUUCUUCAUGAAUGGAAAGUGACGCCACUUUCCAUUCAUGAAGUGGCGGGAUUCCAUCUGUUGACAACAAAAGCUUAUCCUGGCUGAGGCAGAAAUACUAUCCAAACAAUUUCUUAUUUAAUGAUAAACGAAAGGGGUUAACUUUGGUCUUAUUUUAUCACCUAUCCUCUUUAUUGUUUUGUACGGUUGUACCACCAUCGACCGUCUGGUCUCCGCUCUGGUUUAUUACGGCCGUAUUAUUUCAUCGAGAGACCCCUGACCUUUUCCUAUUUAAUUUUUAUUCUUCCUUACCCGCUAUCCGUUCCAUUUAUUGUUUUUGGCCCACCCAUCGGCCCGUUUCCACUGGCUAGAAUAUUAAGUCAGAGGUCGAAUCGUUCCUAAGUUUUCCACGGAUAGAACCCGGAAUAGAAAGCGGAACCUGGGUUAGUCGGUGGUCGGCGGAUUUCUAACCAAUCAGCUGAAGGCUACCUUAACUACUGUCGGAGAUUAAAAUAGUUGUCCAGCUAGAAAUACGCGGCGUCUUUCGGCCAAAAGUGUGGAACGAUACUGACCGGAGUUUAGCUUACGGAAGAGGAAGACCAAGAACUGGACUGGGCUCAUACUGCCGGGUAGAGGAGCUGGAAUUCGAUCACUAUUCCACCGAACGCCAGCUCUCCCACCAGAUACCGGUAUGAAAAAGGAAUAUUUCAACCAAACCCUUUGAAUAUUUCCUGACCGAAUAUUCCUUUGAAUAUUCGGUCAGGUCGAAUGGGAAUUUGGCGGCGGAUAAGAAUAAUUCUUUACACUAUCUCCGAAUCUGGUGUGGAGAAAGAAGCGGCUUUCCCACCAGCCCGCCUUAUUAGCUAACCAAACAAUCGGAAGACCAUGGACGGUCUAUCCAUUGGGACCGUUGUCGUAUGCGCACCGAUUGCCGAAAUAUAAAUUAAGUUUACAGCAGAGCUAGAUAGAAAUCGACUCUCGGACCGUAAUCGGUAUUUAUCGCUAUCUGUGUUAGUGUUUCACCCGACGGAUGACGCCAAUCUACCGUUUUUGGCUUUACCUCGGGCUAUCGGCCGAUACUCUUCCUCCCACUUAUUAUUUCGGGAAGAUGGCUGUGGGGGUGGCACCAAUCGGGUGUUCUUAUCCGGCUGGAAUUCGCUUAACCCCGGUUAGAUGUCGGACUGCACCGGUAGUGGCCCUCGUACCGUCUUCGAUAAAUAUGGCGAAUCCAUCCGUCUCGGUCCAGCGUGUAAAAUACAAAUUUUAGCUAAGUAUAUCGUCGAACCGUAAACUUUUUAGCGUCGGAAUCGUACGUAUUCGGACAGAAUCUAAAUAUAUACAAGUAGCCACUUUUUGAUUUUUCAUUUAUUUAAUCACGGGCCGAGCUUAGUCGGGAUAAUAAAUUCGCUUCUCGGGAUCAUCGACCACCAUUUACCGAAUUAUGGUCAAUAGCGUCCUCCUUUCAAAUAUUCCCGAGUUAAUUUACCCGAAGAUUAAUUCUAUAUUUUCCAAAUUCUGUCACCUAAUUAUUGUAUGGUUAAACAGAUAGACUCUUCUAAGGCCCGAGGAAUUAAGGUUAGGAUACCUAGCCGCUUCUCCCCGUCACCUGGUCACUUUUUUAAAGAAAUCGAAACCGACUAUCCCCGAUACGAAAUUAUUAAUCCGUAUACUGGUAGUAGAGGGGGGUAUUCAGCUGGACGGGUGACGGUAUCGAACAGCUAUAUUUUUAAACGAUUAGUGAUAAGCCACGGUCCUGGUACGAAAGGCCGUGGACGGUCGUUUAUAUUUUGCCUCAGCUCCGAAUAAACUAAGUUUUUCGGCCCGUAAUAUUAUUGAAAUUUGAAAACUUUCUUAAAGUAGAUUGUUAUCUACAUUAAGAAAGUUUCAAACUUUGCCAAUGACCACAAUCUACAACUGUGAUUUUGUCUGAAAAACCGCGCAAUACCGAUAAAUUUUCAUUAAGUCCGCUGGCUCUAUUAGCAACGGUACGAAGUUAUCCGAUAUGCCAUACUGCAGCCAGAUUAUACUAGAAUAAUAAUGGGGCAAAAAAUAGGCGGGAGUACAUAUUCCACCGUAUAUAAAAUUUGGAUCCGAGUAUAAAAGAAAUUAUAAGAUGGUGAUUUAAAAAAUAUAAUAAAAAUCGGCUUUUUUAAUUAUAGAGAUUAUUAACAGAAAACGAGUAGAAAAGCGUAUAGUGCCAAGCUGUGGCCAGCCACAAAAAUUGCGUAGUAAAAUUGAAUUAAAAUUGCCAGUUUACUCCUUUCCUCAUUAUCGAUGACAUUAUUUACGUUGACGUAUUUAUUCAUAAAAGUUUUUCAUCUACUAUCUAUAUAAGAUUGACCCGCCGUGUUUAUAUGUAGGUAAUUACCUAGUACGUAUUUCUAUCUAUUUCUCGACAAGAAUUUCCUAUUUUCUAGAAAGCCGAAAUUGGCAGAUGUAGCGGAGGGACCGCGGAACUGAUUCGGAAAAAUAUAACAAUUCGAAAUUCCAUUUUAAAGGAACGGAAAACAGAAAUGCUAAAUUCCCAAUGUUUGCCAUGUGGUUUAAGAAUCGUUAUUUCUCGACCAUCGGAGCGCUCGGUGCUCGGAAAAAUACCCCUCGGCAUACGAUUCGAAAAAAAAAAAUUAUAUUCGAAAGGUGACGAAAGUGGCGGCCUGCAAAUUUGAUGAAGUUUUAAUAUUAAUCUUAUUUCGACGAAAAUCGAUAUACGGAGGUUUCUGGAGUUACAGAAUAGGAAUCCGACCAUAAUUUUUUCGAAUUCGAAAGAGCGGAUCCAAUAUGGCGGAUCGAAAUUCCUGGAUAUUUUAAUUUAGUCCGACUUUUUGGUGUGGUUGACUGGAUCGACUAUCUAGAAACACUAUGGUCUUCCAUCCUGGACCGGAAACCGGGUCCCAUUCCUCGGAAUGUAUUUAUUAGAGCGAGCCCGUUUUCGUCGGCCAUGUUAAACAGUCGGCUUUUCGUUAAUAUCAGCGGCCUACGACGGGCUCUGGAAUGGAUACUUAGUAAUCGGUUAUCCAAAUAUAAUGCCGUUGUCGGAGAGAAAAGAUCCCGCCGCCACAAAUAUUCGCUUUCCUCGAAGAGUUAGGUUCAUCUAUCCCCGCCCUAGACAGGCUCAUACGCUAGGUAUUUAAUGGGUUCUUUUGCCCAUUCCGUGUCUACUUUUCUUCCCACGGUAGGGAAAAUGUAUCUAUUUGUCCAAUUUUCGUAAAUAAUAAAUAAAUUUAUAUUAUUUACACGGCUUUGAGAAAGAAUAUAUAUAUAUAUAUAUGAUGUAUUUGAGAAGAUGCGUAGGUAGCAUUCG